ACAUCCUUUUGUGUGUAAGUUUGUAUUAGUACAUGCUAACGAUAUUCAAAAAGUACAUACCUCAAAGAAAACGAUGACGCGAGUUAUCGUCUCUAACGUUCGAGGACUACAAAAAACACUCGGAUUGUAGGCAACAGUUUACUUCCUGGGAUUGGUGACGUAGAUAAGACCAACAUUAUCAUAGUUCAGCCCUCUCUGCUUUGCUUGGGUACGCCCUCAAAGACGGGGGUGGAGAGCGCUGAGUCAGAAGAGAGCUAAAAUGGCGGAGGUUGGGAGUCCCUGCUUUGACUCUGUUUGCAAACUCUUGUUUCAUUGUUUAAGCGAUUAAAUCUCUCGAGUAGACGCUGUCUCUUUAGAUGCAAGGGCAAAAUAGCACUUUAUGGACUUACACAGAGGACAUCAUGUUUAAUACGGUUCCGGAAAAAUCCAGUCAGAAGUUCUUCACGGAGUUUUCACAAUAACUGCUUCUCAUGAACCGAAGCUGCGCGACGUCUCCUCCUGAAAGUUGGAUUACCGUGCACUUCUGGAUCACAGGCUAUUCGCAGCUGGACACAUCCUUCUAACUAACACUGUAUGCAAACAUGCAACAUCAUAACACACAGUACAAGGAGUUAGACUGGCAUAUGAGGAGCAAAGGAACCCACGCAGUAGCAUCGUUUCAUAAUGUUUCCAUCACCAUCAUCAGUGGAUGCCUUUGCCGUCCGUAGCCUGAGA